AUGUUUCAUAAAUCUUGGGUGGCAGUGGUAAAGGUUUCGGGAUCCACUUCUAGGAUUCAAUCCAUGCUUGAUAAGGAGGGGUUUUUCUCUAUCAUGACUUCCAAGUUGGGCCUGAAUCACGUCUUGUUCGAGGAAACUGAGAAGGGUGCGUUGGAGGAAUUGGUUGGGGAGGAUGAUUCGAGAUGGAAGGUGUGGUUUUCGGAAGUGAGAAGAUGGGAUAUGAAUGAGGUGGGUAAGAGAGGAUGA